AGAACAAACAUCUGAUCCUAGACCCAGUCAGCAGGGAGGAUGCAGGAAGCUACUCCUGUGCUGUGAAAACCAACAAAGAUAUCAGCUCUGCUCCAAAGACUCUCACUGUCCAAAGUAUCACAGGAAGGACACGAGUUUCUGUAAUAAUUUUGAUUUUAACGCUUCUCUUUUUCUUCUUUUUGAUUAGAAAAAAGUGGACUAUGAGUCAGUCUUCCACAAAUGACACAUCAAACUACAUAGUGAAGCUAAAUCCUGAUCCUGCAUGUGAAGACGUCUUAGCUCAGCCACAGGUGGAGGAUGAAGUCCUCUACAGCAAAGUCCACUUCUUCAAAAACCACACAGAUCCUCUUUUUUCCACCAUAGAGCCACUUCAGCCCAGAGACGAGCAGCAUGCUGAUUACGCUGCUGUGAAGUUUAGACAUAAAACAAGCUCUGAUGGAGAAUCUGUUGUCAUUUCAGCAGAAACAGACGACAGUUAAAGACCUGCAGAAGUACACUGUG
ensembl:lncRNA